rnacentral:rRNA from 1 species
AGUGAACGCUGGCGGCGUGCCUAACACAUGCAAGUCGCACGAGAACGCUUCAGCUUGCUGAAGUUAGUAAAGUGGCGCACGGGUGAGUAACGCGUGGGUAACCCACCUCCGAAUUGGGGAUAACAUUGCGAAAGCGAUGCUAAUACCGAAUAAUAUCUUAUACACCUCGGUGCUUAAGAUCAAAGAUGGCCUCUCCUUGGAAGCUAUCGUUUGGGGACGGGCCCGCGUACCAUUAGCUUGUUGGUAGGGUAAUGGCCUACCAAGGCUACGAUGGUUAGCUGGUCUGAGAGGAUGAUCAGCCACACUGGAACUGACACACGGUCCAG